GUACCUGCAGGACCUAAAAAUCCAACUUCAUUUUCUGCUCUUUUCUGUUUUUCUUAUUAAAGACUUACUCUGUCAGGUAAGUUUCUGUCACAAAGGUACUUCUGAUCAUGAAGAAUAAAUGUAUGCAGGUAAAACAGAACCUGACUAUAUGCAAUAAGGUAUUUGAUCAUUUAUCCAUAUCUCUGCAGAAAGUCAGCUCUGUGGUGGACAAGUGACCCCAUGCCUGGUAAUAGCUGUCUCCUCCCUCAAGUUCUUGCUUUAUCGAGGUAUAUACAAUAUCGUGCAGGGAGAAGAAGCUGGUGCAUGACUCUGGUCAUUUCUGGAUAUGCAGCCUUUGGGGUGAUUCUGUCAGUUCACUGGGCAAAACCCUGAGUCUUUGUGUGGGUGCAUUGGAGAGCCAGCUGGCAGUGUUCAGGGUUCACAUCGUCCUGAAAGUAGAUCCUCUGAGAGCCAUGCUGAAAUGCAGGCCUGAUUUCAUCAAGUGGAUGAAGUGGACAUACAGAGGA
rnacentral:lncRNA from 1 species